GUUUAGCAAGGCAGAAGGAGCCCCCAAAAAGGUGGAUCCCCCAUAGUGGGGGGGGGGUCUGUGAUGCUGGGGGGGUUUUGGGGUGCCCUGACCCCCCCAUUUUCACCCAGGGGUGAAGGUGAUCCUGGACCUGACCCCAAACCCCGCCGGGAAUCCGGUGUGGGGGGACGCAGCCCAAGACUCUGAGGUGCACCAGCAGGUCCAGGUGGGUCUGGGGGGGCUGUGGGGUGGGGGUGGGGGGCUUGGGGGUGUGGGGGACCCCCCUGAACCCCCCCUGUGCCCCCCCAGGCCGCCCUGAGCCAUUGGCUGAAGGAGGACAUUGCUGGGAUCUUCCUGGAUGGCAUCGAGGAGCUCCCGAACUUGGUGGUGGCCCAGUGGAGGAACCUGACGGAGCAGCAGCCGAGCCCCAGCGGUGUGGACAGGGUGCUGGUGGGGGGCACACGCCUGCAGGACCCCUGGGAGGUGCCGCGGGGCCCGGGGAUGCCGCAGCUGCUGCUGGGACCCUUCCUGCAGCCCCUGGAGCCCAAGGGCGACUCCAAGGCCCC
rnacentral:lncRNA from 1 species